rnacentral:lncRNA from 1 species
GUUCUUGCUAAGUUGCCUAGAGCCUCACUAAGUUGCUGAGGCUGGCUUUGAACUCAGGAUCCUCCUGACUUGGCCUCCUGAGUUGCUGGGUUACAGGUAUGUGCCACUGCGCCCAGCUUCUACUUUGGCUUUAAUGCUAUUCAAAUAGCAGCAAAAAUAUUUAUUUUAUUGAAUAUAUUUUCUAAAGAUUUGAAUGUGCAAGUAAUUUUAUAAGCCACCUAAAAAUCUUAACAAAGUGAUAUAAAUAGUUAUUUUGCCCUUGCAAAUUACCCAUCAUGUAAUUAUGACUUCUUAGUUUGUCAUGUUGAAGAUUGCCUUUUCUAACCAGGUAAAUGUGAACUGACAUGGUAUUGCAUCACCAGCCCUCAGGGAGGCAGUUAACAGAAAUGGUUUCUAAAAUCCAUAGUCACAAAAUUUCAUAAUACUUUAAAUUUGACAAUUAGUGAAGUUCUCUGGGACUUGGGACUUGGGAGAUGCUGUGCUGGGGACUUUGCAGAUAGAUUGAUAAGGUCUGAGUUACAGUCUGAAGUACGAGUCCUGGACAGAGAUUUUGGAAUCUAGAGUUAUUUUAUAAUAUCUCUAUGUCUCAGUUCUUUCCUUGUAGCAUUUUUAAUAAUAAUAUUUUCUAAUUUUUCAGAAGCAUUUUGGAAAAUGAACUUUUUUCUCAAAUAAUUUGUCAGAAUCAAUGAAAACCCUUAUUGCCUAUAAAACUGCUAAGAUGGCUGGUCACAGUGGCAUAAUCCUAUACUCUCAGCUACUAAGAGUCUGAGAAGGAAUGAUCACAAGUUUGAAGCCAGCCUGGGCAACUUAGACUCAGAGGGAAAGGUGACUGGGGGAAGACUGGGAAAGUAGCUCAGCAGGGGAGCAUCCCGGUGCUGCCAGAGGAAAGAGGGAAAGGAGGGGGCAGAUGCUGACAGGCUCUUGUCUGUAAGUCACUGUUGUUCUGAGUAAGGCCAUUGUAAGCUUAACCACUGCCAGCUGUUUAGCCAGGUACUUUCACUAUGGAUUCCUUAAAAUCAGCAGUGAAUCAGUCUUUGGACUGGGAACAUUAGGACAACGCAGGCAUGUUUUACUUAGCACCAUAUAUCCCCCCCCCCCCCCCCCCCCCCGCUUGUUG